ACCACUUCAUGCUGAAACACUGUUUCCCAUACGAUCCCUGAAGUUAAGCAACAUCGAGCCUGGUCAGUACUUUGAUGGGUGACUGCUUGUGAAUACCAGGUGCUGUAAG